UACGGGAGGCAGCAGUGGGGAAUAUUGCACAAUGGGCGAAAGCCUGAUGCAGCUAUGCCGCGUGUAUGAAGAAGGCCUUAGGGUUGUAAAGUACUUUUCAUCGGGGAGGAAAAAACAAAACUAAUAAUUUUAUUUCUUGACGUUACCCGAAAAAGAAGCACCGGCUAACUCCGUGCCAGCAGCCGCGGUAAUACGGAGGGUGCUAGCGUUAAUCAGAAUUACUGGGCGUAAAGAGCACGUAGGUGGUUUUUUUAAAGUUCAGAUGUGAAAUCCCUGGGCUUAACCUAGGAACUGCAUUUUGAAACUGAAAUACUAGAGUAUCGUAGAGGGAGGUAGAAUUCUAGGUGUAGCGGUGAAAUGCGUAGAUAUCUGGAGGAAUACCUGUGGCGAAAGCGGCCUCCUAAACGAAUACUGACACUGAGGGUGCGAAAGCUGGGGAGCAAACAGGGAUUAGAUACC
rnacentral:rRNA from 1 species